GGGUUGUGAGGUUAAGCGACUAAGCGUACACGGUGGAUGCCCUGGCAGUCAGAGGCGAUGAAGGACGUGCUAAUCUGCGAUAAGCGUCGGUGAGGUGAUAUGAACCGUUAUAACCGGCGAUUUCCGAAUGGGGAAACCCAGUGUGUUUCGACACACUAUCAUUAACUGAAUCCAUAGGUUAAUGAGGCGAACCGGGGGAACUGAAACAUCUAAGUACCCCGAGGAAAAGAAAUCAACCGAGAUUCCCCCAGUAGCGGCGAGCGAACGGGGAGGAGCCCAGAGCCUGAAUCAGUGUGUGUGUUAGUGGAAGCGUCUGGAAAGGCGCGCGAUACAGGGUGACAGCCCCGUACACAAAAAUGCACAUAUUGUGAGCUCGAUGAGUAGGGCGGGACACGUGGUAUCCUGUCUGAAUAUGGGGGGACCAUCCUCCAAGGCUAAAUACUCCUGACUGACCGAUAGUGAACCAGUACCGUGAGGGAAAGGCGAAAAGAACCCCGGCGAGGGGAGUGAAAAAGAACCUGAAACCGUGUACGUACAAGCAGUGGGAGCCUCUUAAUGGGGUGACUGCGUACCUUUUGUAUAAUGGGUCAGCGACUUAUAUUCUGUAGCAAGGUUAACCGAAUAGGGGAGCCGAAGGGAAACCGAGUCUUAACUGGGCGUUAAGUUGCAGGGUAUAGACCCGAAACCCGGUGAUCUAGCCAUGGGCAGGUUGAAGGUUGGGUAACACUAACUGGAGGACCGAACCGACUAAUGUUGAAAAAUUAGCGGAUGACUUGUGGCUGGGGGUGAAAGGCCAAUCAAACCGGGAGAUAGCUGGUUCUCCCCGAAAGCUAUUUAGGUAGCGCCUCGUGAAUUCAUCUCCGGGGGUAGAGCACUGUUUCGGCAAGGGGGUCAUCCCGACUUACCAACCCGAUGCAAACUGCGAAUACCGGAGAAUGUUAUCACGGGAGACACACGGCGGGUGCUAACGUCCGUCGUGAAGAGGGAAACAACCCAGACCGCCAGCUAAGGUCCCAAAGUCAUGGUUAAGUGGGAAACGAUGUGGGAAGGCCCAGACAGCCAGGAUGUUGGCUUAGAAGCAGCCAUCAUUUAAAGAAAGCGUAAUAGCUCACUGGUCGAGUCGGCCUGCGCGGAAGAUGUAACGGGGCUAAACCAUGCACCGAAGCUGCGGCAGCGACACUAUGUGUUGUUGGGUAGGGGAGCGUUCUGUAAGCCUGUGAAGGUGGCCUGUGAGGGUUGCUGGAGGUAUCAGAAGUGCGAAUGCUGACAUAAGUAACGAUAAAGCGGGUGAAAAGCCCGCUCGCCGGAAGACCAAGGGUUCCUGUCCAACGUUAAUCGGGGCAGGGUGAGUCGACCCCUAAGGCGAGGCCGAAAGGCGUAGUCGAUGGGAAACAGGUUAAUAUUCCUGUACUUGGUGUUACUGCGAAGGGGGGACGGAGAAGGCUAUGUUGGCCGGGCGACGGUUGUCCCGGUUUAAGCGUGUAGGCUGGUUUUCCAGGCAAAUCCGGAAAAUCAAGGCUGAGGCGUGAUGACGAGGCACUACGGUGCUGAAGCGACAAAUGCCCUGCUUCCAGGAAAAGCCUCUAAGCAUCAGGUAACAUCAAAUCGUACCCCAAACCGACACAGGUGGUCAGGUAGAGAAUACCAAGGCGCUUGAGAGAACUCGGGUGAAGGAACUAGGCAAAAUGGUGCCGUAACUUCGGGAGAAGGCACGCUGAUAUGUAGGUGAAGCGACUUGCUCGUGGAGCUGAAAUCAGUCGAAGAUACCAGCUGGCUGCAACUGUUUAUUAAAAACACAGCACUGUGCAAACACGAAAGUGGACGUAUACGGUGUGACGCCUGCCCGGUGCCGGAAGGUUAAUUGAUGGGGUUAGCGGUAACGCGAAGCUCUUGAUCGAAGCCCCGGUAAACGGCGGCCGUAACUAUAACGGUCCUAAGGUAGCGAAAUUCCUUGUCGGGUAAGUUCCGACCUGCACGAAUGGCGUAAUGAUGGCCAGGCUGUCUCCACCCGAGACUCAGUGAAAUUGAACUCGCUGUGAAGAUGCAGUGUACCCGCGGCAAGACGGAAAGACCCCGUGAACCUUUACUAUAGCUUGACACUGAACAUUGAGCCUUGAUGUGUAGGAUAG
rnacentral:rRNA from 1 species